UUAAUUGGUUGCUAUGUUAAUUAUGGUUAAACUAUUGGUAAUUAAAUUAUAGCCCAAAAUGGGUAAUUAUAUAAUUUACUAAAAUAGUAAAAAUUCCAUCUUUGAUUCUUCCCCAAAUCAUGCUCCCACAAUGAACCCUAAUCUUCUGUAUCUCCUCCCCCGUUCCGGCACCGUCAUCGCCACCCGAGCAUAACCGUGUCAUUGGCUUCCCCCGUUCUGGGACCGUCGUUGCCAUCUGAGCAUAACCGCCUCAUUGGGUGCCCAAUUCUCUCCGUCUGUCGUGCCAUCUCCGUGCUCGAAAGCAUCGCCGCCACCGUCGUCACAAGCAGUGCCGCCUUCCUCAAGGACUUGCAAGUUGUCCACCAUCAAGUACAAGAUUCUGGAUAUGGAGAUUUAUUGCCGAUGAAUCUUUAACUAUUGCUGCUUCAACUCAGGCAAUCACUCUAUCAACCUGUAUAGUUGCUCACAACAAUGUAUUAUUCGCUUUGUUGGUGUCAAAUAAUUUUGCUCAGAUAAAAAGCAAUGUGUUUAAGCGAUACAGCAGGGACAAUGUAUACUGUUUGGUUUGCUUUGCAAAAUGUCAAAACCAAGCACCCUCAGUUGCUGUAUGAAUCAAAACCAAGCACCCUCUGUAGGUGUAUAUCAUUGACUUUGGUAUUGCUAAGAAAUACAGGGACAUUUCUACACAUCAGCAUAUUCCUUACAGAGAGAAUAAGAAUUUGACAAGAACGGCUAGGUAUGCUACAGUGGUCAAUGGUGCCUCUCAUGGCUGGUUCUUUGGAUGCUGCAAUCAACACCUUCAAGCAUGAAGGCCAAGUUCGUAUGGUAUUCGAAAUGUAUAAAAACUCUGCUGGCCUCUUCUAGCAGUUAGAAACCUCCAUUGAAUCAACUUUGGAAGAAAGUGAUCUGGAGAAAAGAGAAAUCAGGGAGCUCCUUGAAAUGAAGGUGGCAAUGAAAUUGGGAAGAAGCGUAUCGCAGCUGAGGGAACUUGCCUCAAAAUCUGCUUCCUAUCGAAUGGAGGGAGGUUGAUGAAUUUGCCAGCAAGUUAUGAGAGGCUAACAUCACUAAUUCAUUCUUCUAGUAGUUUAACCUUUUUAAAAGUGAUGUAUAUGCAAGUUAUGAGCUAUGUUUGAGCUUGAAGUUGAGCUCUAUAUUUUGUAUUAUAUACACAUCUAUACAUAUAUAAUUAUUUUAAUAUAAGAAAAGU